rnacentral:rRNA from 1 species
UAGGCAGCGACCCUAAACAAUUGCCUUAGUCACCCUGAAAUAUGGGUAGGCAACGCCAUCAAUCUGCGCUGGAAUACCCUCUUUCGAGGGUUAACCAGGAGCUCUAGAGACCUCUGGAGUCCACAGAUCAAACGAUGGCGGCCGCUUCGGUGGUUGAGAUAUGACCGGCCCCUUGGCUGUCGCUAGCCAGGAGAACCAGUGGAACCUGCGGAAGGAUCAUUAUCGAGAGAGGGGCUUCGUGCUCCCGGGGGCUUCGGCCCCCACCUCUUCACCCAUUGUUAAUUUACCUUUGUUGCUUUGGCGGACCUCGGGGUACCCCUCGCGCCGAUCUACCGGUCGGCGAGCGCCCGCCAGAGAUCCAUUAAAUUCUGUUUCUCAGUGAUGUCCGAGUCAAAAAACCAAUAAUAAAAACUUUCAACAACGGAUCUCUUGGUUCCAGCAUCGAUGAAGAACGCAGCGAAAUGCGAUAAGUAAUGUGAAUUGCAGAAUUCAGUGAAUCAUCGAAUCUUUGAACGCACAUUGCGCCCUCUGGUAUUCCGGGGGGCAUGCCUGUUCGAGCGUCAUUACACCCCUCAAGCGUAGCUUGGUAUUGGGCCCUCGCCCCCGCGGCGUGCCCGAAAAGCAGUGGCGGUCCGGUGUGACUUUAAGCGUAGUAAAUUUCUCCCGCUUUGAAAGUUCGCCCCGUGGCUUGCCAGACAACCCUAUAUACAUCAAUAAUUGACCUCGGAUCACGUAGGGAUACCCGCUGAACUUAAGCAUAUCAAUAAGCGGGAGGAAAA